AACGCACCUUGCGCUCCUUGGUAUUCCGAGGAGCAUGCCUGUUUGAGUGUCAUUAAAUUCUCAACCCCGAAUCGAUUUGUUUCUAUUCGGGGCUUGGACUUGGAGCGUGCUGGCGAAGGUCGGCUCCUCUCAAAUGCAUCAGCGGAAUUCAACCUUUGGCUUCCGGACAUCAGUGUGAUAAUGACGUUGCGCUGUCGUCCGACCCUCAAAGUCCGCUUACAAUGGUCUUCGGACAAAACCUUGCAUCAUAUUUGACCUCAAAUCAGGUAGGACUACCCGCUGAACUUAA
rnacentral:misc_RNA from 1 species